AAGUGUUACAGCUCUUUUAGAAUUUGUCUAGCAGGUUUUCUGACUUUGGUCGGAAACCCCCC
ensembl:snRNA LOC120096370 U7 small nuclear RNA